AAUGAAGACACCAGUAAAAAUGACACCACAGAAGAUACCAGCGAAGACAAAAGCCAUGACAAUGACAGCAAUGAGGGAAAAGAGGACGAAGACACAGACAAUCAGACAAGCCAGUCUGAAGAGACUGACAAGAAAUCUCAGGAAGACUCUGAAAGCUCCUUAAGUAAGGAAGACAGCCAGGACACAGAUGAGAGCAAGACUGAGUCCUCUGAUGGAGACAGCUCAAACACCACCGAUCUCACUGACAAAGACAGUGCAGAGAACGAUGGAGAAGUUGCAGAUAAUGAUGAAGAGGAUAGUUUGGAAAAGGUGCUUUCUGAUGAAGAUGAUGAGAAAGAUGUGGAUGAAGAUGUGGUUGAGACUCUCACCACUGAGGUGCCUGACCAGCCAGAUCAUCUAGAUGACACUCCAGAAGAAAAUGUUACUGGUAGCAGCAACGCUCCCCCAAGCUCUUAGCAUCCAGAUUUGUACCAGAUUACACAGUUUAACAGGGUCAUCUUGUUAACACCACAAAAACAGAGGCAACUGAAGUGAUCAUCAUGCUAACCAGUCAUUUUGAUGCACAUAAACACAUUAUUUGACCAGUAACUACCAAGAAAAAAAUUGGAAAAACACAUAAAAAUCAUUUUAACAGUUUAUUUCUUGGUCUCCCUAAUUUGAUUGUGGGCCCUACUGAUGGGGAUUUUUGAGGUAAAUGACUCAACUAAAUGAUUCAGUUGUUUGUUGCAUAAUCUACUCUUCAUAACUUGCCAUAAUCCUGCCUUAAUUCUACGAAUGAACAAAGCAAUAUUUCUUCCAGAGGUUGUUUUUAUGUCUUUUAUUAAAACCUUUUACUUUUGAAAACUAGA